UCCAGCUCCAGUAGCGUAUAUUAAAGUUGUUGCAGUUAAAAAGCUCGUAGUUGGACCUAUGGCUUGAGACGCCUGGCCCACCAAGGUUACUUGUGUGAGUGCCGGUGUGUCUCUGCCAUCCUUCUGGGAAACGUUUCUGCCUUUUACUAGGUUGGAUUCGGGUUCCAGAUCAUUUACUUUGAAAAAAUUAGAGUGUUUAAAGCAGGCUUGCGCUAUGAAUACAUUAGCAUGGAAUAAUAAUUUAGGACUUUGGUUCUAUUUUGUUGGUUUCUAGGACUGAAGUAAUGAUUGAUAGGGAUAGUUGGGGGUGCUAGUAUCACGCGGCCAGAGGUGAAAUUCUUGGAUUCUCGUGCGACUAACUUAUGCGAAAGCAUUCACCAAGGAUGUCUUCUUUAAUCAAGAACGAAAGUUGGGGGAUCGAAGACGAUCAGAUACCGUCGUAGUCUCAACCAUAAACUAUGCCGACUAGGGAUUGGUGAACGUUUUUAUUUUGACUUCAUCAGCACCUUAUGAGAAAUCAAAGUUUUUGGGUUCCGGGGGGAGUAUGGUCGCAAGGCUGAAACUUAAAGGAAUUGACGGAAGGGCACCACCAGGAAUGGAGCCUGCGGCUUAAUUGGAUUCAACACCGGAAAACUUACCAGGUCCAGACUUUGUAAGGAUUGACAGAUUGAAGAUCUUUCUUGAUUCAAAGGGUGGUGGUGCAUGGCCGUUCUUAGUUGGUGGAGUGAUUUGUCUGGUUAAUUCCGUUAACGAACGAGACCUCGACCUACUAAAUAGUUUGGCGAAUUCUUCGGAAUUCGUACACGACUUCUUAGAGGGACUAUCGGUGUGUAGCCGGUGGAAGUUCGAGGCAAUAAC
rnacentral:rRNA from 1 species